CAGUCGCCGCGGUAAUACGUAGGUGGCAAGCGUUAUCCGGAAUUAUUGGGCGUAAAGCGCGCGUAGGCGGUUUUUUAAGUCUGAUGUGAGAGCCCACGGCUCAACCGUGGAGGGUCAUUGGAAACUGGGAAACUUGAGUGCAGAAGAGGAGAGUGGAAUUCCACGUGUAGCGGUGAAAUGCGUAGAGAUGUGGAGGAACACCAGUGGCGAAGGCGACUCUCUGGUCUGUAACUGACGCUGAGGAGCGAAAGCGUGGGGAGCGAACAGGAUUAGAUACCCGUGUAGUCCCUGUCUCUUAUAC
rnacentral:rRNA from 1 species